rnacentral:rRNA from 1 species
GACGAACGCUGGCGGCGUGCUUAACACAUGCAAGUCGAGCGGUAAGGCCCUUUCGGGGGUACGACGAGCGGCGAACGGGUGAGUAACACGUGGGUGACCUGCCCUUAGCUCUGGGAUAAGCCUGGGAAACUGGGUCUAAUACCGGAUAUGACUCCAUGACGCAUGUUGUGGGGUGGAAAGCCUUGUGCGGCUAGGGAUGGGCCCGCGGCCUAUCAGCUUGUUGGUGGGGUGAUGGCCUACCAAGGCGACGACGGGUAGCCGGCCUGAGAGGGCGACCGGCCACACUGGGACUGAGACACGGCCCAGACUCCUACGGGAGGCAGCAGUGGGGAAUCUUGCGCAAUGGGCGAAAGCCUGACGCAGCGACGCCGCGUGGGGAGUGACGGCCUC